rnacentral:rRNA from 1 species
ACGAUUAGCGCUAUAAUGCAGUCGACGAACUCUGGUAUUGAUUGGUGCUUGCAUCAUGAUUUACAUUUGAGUGAGUGGCGAACUGGUGAGUAACACGUGGGAAACCUGCCCAGAAGCGGGGGAUAACACCUGGAAACAGAUGCUAAUACCGCAUAACAACUUGGACCGCAUGGUCCGAGUUUGAAAGAUGGCUUCGGCUAUCACUUUUGGAUGGUCCCGCGGCGUAUUAGCUAGAUGGUGGGGUAACGGCUCACCAUGGCAAUGAUACGUAGCCGACCUGAGAGGGUAAUCGGCCACAUUGGGACUGAGACACGGCCCAAACUCCUACGGGAGGCAGCAGUAGGGAAUCUUCCACAAUGGACGAAAGUCUGAUGGAGCAACGCCGCGUGAGUGAAGAAGGGUUUCGGCUCGUAAAACUCUGUUGUUAAAGAAGAACAUAUCUGAGAGUAACUGUUCAGGUAUUGACGGUAUUUAACCAGAAAGCCACGGCUAACUACGUGCCAGCAGCCGCGGUAAUACGUAGGUGGCAAGCGUUGUCCGGAUUUAUUGGGCGUAAAGCGAGCGCAGGCGGUUUUUUAAGUCUGAUGUGAAAGCCUUCGGCUCAACCGAAGAAGUGCAUCGGAAACUGGGAAACUUGAGUGCAGAAGAGGACAGUGGAACUCCAUGUGUAGCGGUGAAAUGCGUAGAUAUAUGGAAGAACACCAGUGGCGAAGGCGGCUGUCUGGUCUGUAACUGACGCUGAGGCUCGAAAGUAUGGGUAGCAAACAGGAUUAGAUACCCUGGUAGUCCAUACCGUAAACGAUGAAUGCUAAGUGUUGGAGGGUUUCCGCCCUUCAGUGCUGCAGCUAACGCAUUAAGCAUUCCGCCUGGGGAGUACGGCCGCAAGGCUGAAACUCAAAGGAAUUGACGGGGGCCCGCACAAGCGGUGGAGCAUGUGGGUUUAAUUCGAAGCUACGCGAAGAACCCUUACCAGGUCUUGACAUACUAUGCAAAUCUAAGAGAUUAGACGUUUCCCGUUCGGGGACAUGGAUACAGGUGCUGCAUGGAUGUCGUCAGCUCGUGUCGUGAGAUGGUUGGGUUAAGUCCCGCACCGAGCGCACCGUUAAUUAUCAGCUGCAAGCCAUAGCUGGGCCACUCUGAUGAGACUGCCGAUGACCGAACGGCAGGAAGGGUGGGGAUUGAACCGUA